rnacentral:misc_RNA from 1 species
GCGGACAUGCUAAUUCAGGACAAGGGCGUAAUCGUGUAAGAGGAGGAGCUCAUUGUCGCGUCCGUGGAGGCAAAUCUCAGAGAAAAGUCAAUGCAUCCAGAUCUGACUCUGCGCAGAGAAGUUCAACAAAGAACAGUGACAGACUAGGCCACCUUCCUGCCUGGAAAGGUCAAGACCGCGGCAAAGGAAGACGUAAAAGAGGUCGUCGCUCAGUUCGUAAUAGACAAAAGCCAGUCAAGAAUGUGGAAGAAGUUUCGCCCGAAGAAGUGCCCAUCACCAGUCAGCAAGAUUGGAAUGAUGUUGAAGAUGAAGAAACACCUCAAUUUGAGGCGCCUGAUAACGACAGUGAUUCUGGAACAUCAGGAAGUGAAGAUUAUAAAGGCCAAACAACCGUCAAUGAUUAUGAAGACUUAAUGGUUGCUGACUACGGUUCUUUCAGUGGUAGAAAUGAUCACGCAUCAACCAGUGUGAGUUACAACAUCAGCCAACGUUAUACUGAAACUGCUGAAGAUGGUAUUGGUGAUUACGAGGAUGACCAUGAUGAAGAGGACGAGGAAGAUGGAUUGGCCAAUAAAAACGUCCAAAGAUACUUUGAUGGCGAGUCCGAUGAUGAGGGGGACAGAUUUAUGGAUGAAGAUCUUGUUGAAACCCCAAAUAAAGAUUCAGAAUCAUCAUCCGAGUAUAGUGAUUGACAACAGUUAUUGAACCCAAAGGUAUUUUCUUCUCAUGAGCGCGAAAGGCGUCUUUCAAUCAGUGCUCGCGUUGACACAGUUGAAGAGCGCCAAUGUUUGUUAUGAAAGGAUCAUUAGUUCUAAUUCUAACUGUUUAUAGUUAGCAUCCAGCUUGAAAAUAGUACAGUGCUUCUUCUCUUUACACUUAACAUAUGUAUUACUAUUACAUGGCAAGUAACUUAAUGUGGUAA